rnacentral:rRNA from 1 species
AUUGAACGCUGGCGGAAUGCUUUACACAUGCAAGUCGAACGGCAGCACGGGAGCUUGCUCCUGGUGGCGAGUGGCGAACGGGUGAGUAACAUAUCGGAACGUACCCAGUCGUGGGGGAUAACUAUCCGAAAGGAUAGCUAAUACCGCAUACGUCCUGAGGGAGAAAGCGGGGGAUCGCAAGACCUCGCGCGAUUGGAGCGGCCGAUAUCGGAUUAGCUAGUUGGGUGGGGUAAAGGCUCACCAAGGCGACGAUCCGUAGCGGGUCUGAGAGGACGACCCGCCACACUGGAACUGAGACACGGUCCAGACUCCUACGGGAGGCAGCAGUGGGGAAUUUUGGACAAUGGGGGCAACCCUGAUCCAGCCAUUCCGCGUGA